rnacentral:rRNA from 1 species
AAUAGAUACCCCGGUAGUCCACGCCGUAAACGAUGGAUACUAGCUGUUUGAGCGCAAGUUUGAGUGGCUAAGCGAAAGUGAUAAGUAUCCCACCUGGGGAGUACGGGCGCAAGCCUGAAACUCAAAGGAAUUGACGGGGGCCCGCACAAGCGGUGGAGCAUGUGGUUCAAUUCGAUGAUACGCGAGGAACCUUACCAGGGCUUAAAUGUAGAUUGACGUAUUUGGAAACAGAUAUUUCUUCGGACAAUUUACAAGGUGCUGCAUGGUUGUCGUCAGCUCGUGCCGUGAGGUGUCAGGUUAAGUCCUAUAACGAGCGCAACCCCUGUUGUUAGUUGCCAGCGAGUAAUGUCGGGAACUCUAGCAAGACUGCCAGUGUAAACUGUGAGGAAGGUGGGGAUGACGUCAAAUCAUCACGGCCCUUACGUCCUGGGCCACACACGUGCUACAAUGGCCGGUACAGAGAGCAGCCACUUAGCGAUAAGGAGCGAAUCUAUAAAGCCGGUCACAGUUCGGAUCGGAGU